AGCGGGGUGAUCUACCCAUGGCCAGUGUGAAGCAGCAGUAAGAUGCUGUGGAGGCGCGAACCCACGUAGGUUGAAAACUGCGGGGAUGAGCUGUGGGUAGGGGUGAAAGGCCAAUCAAACUCCGUGAUAGCUGGUUCUCCCCGAAAUGCAUUUAGGUGCAGCGUCGCAUUAGCUUGGUGGAGGUAGAGCUACUGGUUGGUUGAGCGGGACUACAAUCUUAGCAAUGUCAGCCAAACUCCGAAUGCCAUUAAUGUGUUGUGCGGCAGUGAGACUGUGGGGGAUAAGCUUCAUAGUCGAGAGGGAAACAGCCCAGAUCGCCGGUUAAGGCCCCUAAGGGUGUGCUAAGUGGAAAAGGAUGUGGGAUCGCGAAGACAGCCAGGAGGUUGGCUUAGAAGCAGCCAUCCUUGAAAGAGUGCGUAAUAGCUCACUGGUCGAGUGGUUCUGCGCCGACAAUGUAGUGGGGCUCAAGCACACCGCCGAAGCCGCGGCAAUAAUAUUUUGUUAUUGGGUAGGGGAGCGUCGUGCACGUGUUGAAGCGUUACCGUGAGGAGGCGUGGAGUGUGUGCGAGUGAGAAUGCAGGCAUGAGUAACGAAUUGGAAGGUGAGAAUCCUUCCCGCCGGAUGACUAAGGGUUCCUGGGUCAAGUUCGUCUUCCCAGGGUGAGUCGGGACCUAAGGCGAGGCCGACAGGCGUAGUCGAUGGAUAACCAGUUGAUAUUCUGGUACCCGGGUAUAUGCGCCCCUGAUAAAGCACUGAUACUAACCACCGUAAGCUGUUGUGAUUGGCCUUCGGGUUAACAUGGUGGCAAGCCGUGGGGCCUGAUGUGUGGUUCAAGCGAUGGGGUGACACAGUGGGGUAGCCAUGCCGCUUAGUGGAUUGUUGGUGUAAGCGUGUAGGUGAUGGUGUAGGUAAAUCCGCACUUGUUAGCUGAGACGUGAUGCGUAGCCUUAAUUGGUGAAGUUGGUGAUCCCGUGCUGUCGAGAAAAGCCUCUAGCGAUGUAUAUACUCGGCCCGUACCCCAAACCGACACAGGUAGUCAGGUUGAAAAUACUAAGGCGUUCGGGUGAACUGUGGUUAAGGAACUCGGCAAAAUGCCCCCGUAACUUCGGGAGAAGGGGGACCCUAUGGCGUGAACACCCAUUUGCGGUGGGAAGCGUUGUGGGGUCGCAGAGAAUAGAGGGAAGCGACUGUUUAUCAAAAACACAGGUCCAUGCGAAGACGUUAAGUUGAUGUAUAUGGACUGACGCCUGCCCGGUGCUGGAAGGUUAAGAGGACCGGUUAAUCAAGCUUUGCUUGGUGAAGCUGAGAAUUUAAGCCCCAGUAAACGGCGGUGGUAACUAUAACCAUCCUAAGGUAGCGAAAUUCCUUGUCGGGUAAGUUCCGACCUGCACGAAUGGCGUAACGACUUCCCUGCUGUCUCAACCACAGGCCCGGUGAAAUUGCACUACGAGUAAAGAUGCUCGUUACGCGCGGCAGGACGAAAAGACCCCGGGACCUUCACUAUAGCUUGGUAUUGGUGUUCGGUUCGGUUUGUGUAGGAUAGGUGGGAGACUAUGAAACAUGCACGCCAGUGUGUGUGGAGUCGUUGUUGAAAUACCACUCUGAUCGGAUUGGAUACCUUAACCUUGGCCCAUGAUCUGGGUUGGGGACAGUGCCUGGUGGGUAGUUUAACUGGGGCGGUUGCCUCCCAAAAUGUAACGGAGGCGCCCAAAGGUUCCCUCAGCCUGGUUGGCAAUCAGGUGGUGAGUGUAAGUGCACAAGGGAGCUUGACUGUGAGAGUGACAGCUCGAACAGGGACGAAAGUCGGGACUAGUGAUCCGGCACCUACUUGUGGAUGUGGUGUCGCUCAACGGAUAAAAGGUACCCCGGGGAUAACAGGCUGAUCUUCCCCAAGAGUCCAUAUCGACGGGAUGGUUUGGCACCUCGAUGUCGGCUCGUCGCAUCCUGGGGCUGGAGUAGGUCCCAAGGGUUGGGCUGUUCGCCCAUUAAAGCGGCACGCGAGCUGGGUUCAGAACGUCGUGAGACAGUUCGGUCUCUAUCCGCCGCGCGCGUUGAAACUUGAAGAAGGCUGUCCCUAGUACGAGAGGACCGGGACGGACGUACCUCUAGUGUGCCAGUUGUUCCGCCAGGAGCAUCGCUGGUUGGCUACGUACGGAAGGGAUAACCGCUGAAAGCAUCUAAGCGGGAAGCCUGUUUUAAGAUGAGGUUUCAUUUGAGGUCCCCUAAAGACUAUGGGGUUGAUAGGCCAGACAUGGAAGCACCGCAAGGUGUGGAGUCUACUGGUACUAAUAGACCAAAACAAACACACACGAC
rnacentral:rRNA from 1 species